rnacentral:rRNA from 1 species
AAUCCAUAGGUUAAUGAGGCGAACCGGGGGAACUGAAACAUCUAAGUACCCCGAGGAAAAGAAAUCAACCGAGAUUCCCCCAGUAGCGGCGAGCGAACGGGGAGGAGCCCAGAGCCUGAAUCAGCAUGUGUGUUAGUGGAAGCGUCUGGAAAGGCGCGCGAUACAGGGUGACAGCCCCGUACACAAAAGCGCAUGUGCUGUGAGCUCGAUGAGUAGGGCGGGACACGUGGUAUCCUGUCUGAAUAUGGGGGGACCAUCCUCCAAGGCUAAAUACUCCUGACUGACCGAUAGUGAACCAGUACCGUGAGGGAAAGGCGAAAAGAACCCCGGCGAGGGGAGUGAAAAAGAACCUGAAACCGUGUACGUACAAGCAGUGGGAGCACAGGUUUACCUGUGUGACUGCGUACCUUUUGUAUAAUGGGUCAGCGACUUAUAUUCUGUAGCAAGGUUAACCGAAUAGGGGAGCCGGAGGGAAACCGAGUCUUAACCGGGCGUUAAGUUGCAGGGUAUAGACCCGAAACCCGGUGAUCUAGCCAUGGGCAGGUUGAAGGUUGGGUAACACUAACUGGAGGACCGAACCGACUAAUGUUGAAAAAUUAGCGGAUGACCUGUGGCUGGGGGUGAAAGGCCAAUCAAACCGGGAGAUAGCUGGUUCUCCCCGAAAGCUAUUUAGGUAGCGCCUCGUGAAUUCAUCUCCGGGGGUAGAGCACUGUUUCGGCUAGGGGGCCAUCCCGGCUUACCAACCCGAUGCAAACUGCGAAUACCGGAGAAUGUUAUCACGGGAGACACACGGCGGGUGCUAACGUCCGUCGUGAAGAGGGAAACAACCCAGACCGCCAGCUAAGGUCCCAAAGUCAUGGUUAAGUGGGAAACGAUGUGGGAAGGCCCAGACAGCCAGGAUGUUGGCUUAGAAGCAGCCAUCAUUUAAAGAAAGCGUAAUAGCUCACUGGUCGAGUCGGCCUGCGCGGAAGAUGUAACGGGGCUAAACCAUGCACCGAAGCUGCGGCAGCGACGCUGAUGCGUUGUUGGGUAGGGGAGCGUUCUGUAAGCCUGUGAAGGUGGCCUGUGAGGGUUGCUGGAGGUAUCAGAAGUGCGAAUGCUGACAUAAGUAACGAUAAAGCGGGUGAAAAGCCCGCUCGCCGGAAGACCAAGGGUUCCUGUCCAACGUUAAUCGGGGCAGGGUGAGUCGACCCCUAAGGCGAGGCCGAAAGGCGUAGUCGAUGGGAAACGGGUUAAUAUUCCCGUACUUGGUGUUACUGCGAAGGGGGGACGGAGAAGGCUAUGUUGGCCGGGCGACGGUUGUCCCGGUUUAAGCGUGUAGGUGUGUGUUCCAGGUAAAUCCGGUUCACUUUAACACUGAGGCGUGACGACGAGGCACUACGGUGCUGAAGCAACAAAUGCCCUGCUUCCAGGAAAAGCCUCUAAGCAUCAGGUAACAUCAAAUCGUACCCCAAACCGACACAGGUGGUCAGGUAGAGAAUACCAAGGCGCUUGAGAGAACUCGGGUGAAGGAACUAGGCAAAAUGGUGCCGUAA